rnacentral:rRNA from 1 species
CGAAGGCUAGGCCAGCUUGGCGUUGGUUGUCCAAGUUUAAGGUGGUAGGCUGAAAUCUUAGGUAAAUCCGGGGUUUCAAGGCCGAGAGCUGAUGACGAGUCGUCUUUUAGAUGACGAAGUGGUUGAUGCCAUGCUUCCAAGAAAAGCUUCUAAGCUUCAGGUAACCAGGAACCGUACCCCAAACCGACACAGGUGGUCGGGUAGAGAAUACCAGGGCGCUCGAGAGAACUCGGGUGAAGGAACUAGGCAAAAUGGCACCGUAACUUCGGGAGAAGGUGCGCCGGCUAGGGUGAAGGAUUUAUUCCGUAAGCUCUGGCUGGUCGAAGAUACCAGGCCGCUGCGACUGUUUAUUAAAAACACAGCACUCUGCAAACACGAAAGUGGACGUAUAGGGUGUGACGCCUGCCCGGUGCCGGAAGGUUAAUUGAUGGGGUUAGCGCAAGCGAAGCUCUUGAUCGAAGCCCCGGUAAACGGCGGCCGUAACGAUAACGGUCCUAAGGUAGCGAAAUUCCUUGUCGGGUAAGUUCCGACCUGCACGAACGGCGUAACGAUGGCGGCGCUGUCUCCACCCGAGACUCAGUGAAAUUGAAAUCGCUGUGAAGAUGCAGUGUAUCCGCGGCUAGACGGAAAGACCCCGUGAACUUUUACUGUAGCUUUGCACUGGACUUUGAGCCUGCUUGUGUAGGAUAGGUGGGAGGCUUUGAAGCGUGGACGCCAGUUCGCGUGGAGCCAUCCUUGAAAUACCACCCUGGCAUGCUUGAGGUUCUAACUCUGGUCCGUAAUCCGGAUCGAGGACAGUGUAUGGUGGGCAGUUUGACUGGGGCGGUCUCCUCCUAAAGAGUAACGGGGGAGUACGAAGGUGCGCUCAGACCGGUCGGAAAUCGGUCGCAGAGUAUAAAGGCAAAAGCGCGCUUGACUGCGAGACAGACACGUCGAGCAGGUACGAAAGUAGGUCUUAGUGAUCCGGUGGUUCUGUAUGGAAGGGCCAUCGCUCAACGGAUAAAAGGUACUCCGGGGAUAACAGGCUGAUACCGCCCAAGAGUUCAUAUCGACGGCGGUGUUUGGCACCUCGAUGUCGGCUCAUCACAUCCUGGGGCUGAAGCCGGUCCCAAGGGUAUGGCUGUUCGCCAUUUAAAGUGGUACGCGAGCUGGGUUUAGAACGUCGUGAGACAGUUCGGUCCCUAUCUGCCGUGGACGUUUGAGAUUUGAGAGGGGCUGCUCCUAGUACGAGGGGACCGGAGUGGACGAACCUCUGGUGUUCCGGUUGUCACGCCAGUGGCAUUGCCGGGUAGCUAUGUUCGGAAAAGAUAACCGCUGAAAGCAUCUAAGCGGGAAACUUGCCUCAAGAUGAGAUCUCACUGGGAACUUGAUUCCCCUGAAGGGCCGUCGAAGACUACGACGUUGAUAGGCUGGGUGUGUAAGCGUUGUGAGGCGUUGAGCUAACCAGUACUAAUUGUCCGUGAGGCUUGACC